rnacentral:rRNA from 1 species
GAUGAACGCUAGCUACAGGCUUAACACAUGCAAGUCGAGGGGCAUCAGGAAGAAAGCUUGCUUUCUUUGCUGGCGACCGGCGCACGGGUGAGUAACACGUAUCCAACCUGCCCUUUACUCGGGGAUAGCCUUUCGAAAGAAAGAUUAAUACCCGAUAGCAUAAUGAUUCCGCAUGGUUUCAUUAUUAAAGGAUUCCGGUAAAGGAUGGGGAUGCGUUCCAUUAGGUUGUUGGUGAGGUAACGGCCCACCAAGCCUUCGAUGGAUAGGGGUUCUGAGAGGAAGGUCCCCCACAUUGGAACUGAGACACGGUCCAAACUCCUACGGGAGGCAGCAGUGAGGAAUAUUGGUCAAUGGGCGCUAGCCUGAACCAGCCAAGUAGCGUGAAGGAUGAAGGCUCUAUGGGUCGUAAACUUCUUUUAUAUAAGAAUAAAGUGCAGUAUGUAUACUGUUUUGUAUGUAUUAUAUGAAUAAGGAUCGGCUAACUCCGUGCCAGCAGCCGCGGUAAUACGGAGGAUCCGAGCGUUAUCCGGAUUUAUUGGGUUUAAAGGGAGCGUAGGUGGACUGGCAAGUCAGUUGUGAAAGUUUGCGGCUCCAACCGUAAAAUUGCAGUUGAUACUGUCAGUCUUGAGUACAGUAGAGGUGGGCGGAAUUUCGUGGUGUAGCGGUGAAAUGCUUAGAUAUCACGAAGAACUCCGAUUGCGAAGGCAGCUCACUGGACUGCAACUGACACUGAUGCUCGAAAGUGUGGGUAUCAAACAGGAUUAGAUACCCUGGUAGUCCACACAGUAAACGAUGAAUACUCGCUGUUUGCGAUAUACAGUAAGCGGCCAAGCGAAAGCAUUAAGUAUUCCACCUGGGGAGUACGCCGGCAACGGUGAAACUCAAAGGAAUUGACGGGGGCCCGCACAAGCGGAGGAACAUGUGGUUUAAUUCGAUGAUACGCGAGGAACCUUACCCGGGCUUAAAUUGCAGUGGAAUGAUGUGGAAACAUGUCAGUGAGCAAUCACCGCUGUGAAGGUGCUGCAUGGUUGUCGUCAGCUCGUGCCGUGAGGUGUCGGCUUAAGUGCCAUAACGAGCGCAACCCUUAUCUUUAGUUACUAACAGGUUAUGCUGAGGACUCUAGAGAGACUGCCGUCGUAAGAUGUGAGGAAGGUGGGGAUGACGUCAAAUCAGCACGGCCCUUACGUCCGGGGCUACACACGUGUUACAAUGGGGGGUACAGAAGGCAGCUAGCGGGUGACCGUAUGCUAAUCCCAAAAUCCUCUCUCAGUUCGGAUCGAAGUCUGCAACCCGACUUCGUGAAGCUGGAUUCGCUAGUAAUCGCGCAUCAGCCACGGCGCGGUGAAUACGUUCCCGGGCCCUGUACACACCGCCCGUCAAGCCAUGGGAGCCGGGGGUACCUGAAGUACGUAACCGCAAGGAUCGUCCUAGGGUAAAACUGG